UAACAGCAGAAGACAGCUACCAUUUAGAAACUUGUCCUACUCUGGGAAGGGCCCUUCACAACAUGCCUCUGUGUUUAAACCCAGUCCAGCUCUGGGUACAUUCAGCACUCAGCUAUAAAAUGGUGAGAAAACCUACCUGGUGGCUCAGAAGACCUCCCACCUUCCUGGAAGCCAGUUUAGAAGAUGCAAAGGGUCUGAAGAGGAAGCACUCGGCAGGGGGCCAGCACCUCGGACAGAGGCACGACAGCCCAGCUCUGUGCUUCAGGGAGCUGGAAGAGGUCACUCCUGUCCCAACACUGACAGAACCAUCCUAGGAGUCCCGGCCCAGUGUUCUGUGUCAUGGCACCGAAUCCACCCAGGAACCAGAUGGGUGUGGCAAGUCUUUCAGGCUCUGCACGAAGGUGAUACAGCAGCGUGUUUUCAAACAGAAGCAAGCAAGAGGCCAGUCACACACAGGCAGAACGUUUGCUGAAAUGUGGAAAGAGACAUCAGGAGGUCUGGUUAGUGUAACAGCACUGUGACAGAGCUAUCUCAUGACACAUGUGGUCUCAUGCACAAGGUGGUGUAUUAGUCAGGAUUCUCUAAAGGAACAACACAUAUCUAUCACAUAUAUAGAUUAUGAAUCUGUAAAUAUAAAUUAUAUAAAUAUGUACAUAAUAU
rnacentral:lncRNA from 1 species